ensembl:lncRNA
AUGAGAUCAUGCUCCAGUGGUGCAGCAGCAGCAGCAGCAGCAGCUCCCUCAGCGACCCUCCGGCGCUCUCCCCGAGAGGAGCCGCCGCCUCGCCAGCUGCCGCCACCCCCCGUCCCUCGCCCCGGCGGCGUCAGCGGAGCGGAGGCGGGUCCCCAAGCCCCUCCCCCACGCCCACCUGCCUCGUCCCGCGGCCGCCGGGAGGGUCGCCAAGGCGGAGCCCCCGCCUCAGUUUGGGGAACUGCCGACCAACUUCUCUCGGUUGGAGAGCAGCGGGACAGCGGACGCGCUGCUGAGGCGCUUCUUCGUCUUCGUCGCCCGGGCGAGAGUAGCCAGCGCAGCCAGGCUGCUUUCUGGGUCCCCACACAGCCGAGGGUCGAGCUGUACAAGGAGGAAGGCUGGGGGGGGGAAGCAUGAGGAGCGCUGCCCCUUUUAUUUGGAAGGGAAAGCAUGGACAGCGGCUGCUGCUGCUAGUAAGGAGACGCGGUGGAACAGCGGGAGCAAACUUUCCUUGCUUCCCAUGCUCGCCAGCAGAACCUGGAAAAAGAAGUAGAGAGAGGAGGACUCUCCAACCAGAAAGCCCCCUGGGGAAAGCGCUGAGACAUCCUGCGUUGGACUACAACUCCCAGCAGCCGCAGAUGUGGCCGAUGAUGGGGGAGGGUUGGAGAUGCAGUUCAAAACAUCUGGAGGGCACCAGGUUGGGGGAGGCUGUUCUAAGCUUGGGGGUCUGUAAUCAAGCAAGAAAAGGGGGGUGACUGCUGCUCCUAGCUCUUCUCUCUUGCUGACUGUCUCUAGGCACCGAGGGGGCAAGGACUGUACCCAAGUUGCAACCACCUCUGCGUGCUUCCUUGCUUGCUUGCUUGCUUGCUUGCUUUCUCUCUCUCUGUGAGAGGUACUGUAUAUAAGGUUGAUGCUAGACCUAGAAGGUCACCUCACCACCUGCAUUCAGCCUAGUGAACCACACCUGCCCUGCCUUCCAGAGGCAAUAUGUGAGGGAGAGAAGGCAGUGGGUUCAUUGGACCCAAUCCCCAUUCCCAUGCUACCUACAAGGAGGGUGCAGGUAAACAAAUGAGUGCUUUAAUUGGCAGCUCCUUCCGUGACUAGCCCACUGCACACCGUGUCAUCAAGGCAGAAGGGGCUCCUCACAAUACUGUAUCUCUCCAGCCAGCCCCAUGGGCCCAAUCUUUCCUGCUGUGGUACCCAACAGAGGUGCACAAUAGUGGAGGUAGGAUCACUGGCCCACCUUAAGGACAUUUAAUGAGGACUGAGGACUUUUACCAUCUCAGUGAAAACUCAAAAGUGUGGAGAGAUGGCUGAGCAAGUGAAGAGGUAGAGUUUUGAUGAUGAUGAUGAUGAUGAUUUGCUUUCCUCUUUUAGAAAAGUCAUAGACUGCUCCUAAUUCUGAAUCAAAACUACAACUAGUGGGGAUUCAAAGGAUGAGGGUUUUCUCACUGCAUAGUGCUUGCUGUGUUUUGUAGUAUAUUCUGGAAGAAUGUAGCCCAGCUCAGGAAGUCUGUGCUCUUCUCACUUUCAGCAAGAUGUAAAAAUCUAGCUUUAUGAAAAUGUAGCAGACUCAGAUUCAGUGGCAAGUUGGACCUGUUUAGAAAACAUAUGAAUGGGGAAUCCUCUUGUAAAGGUGCACAUAAGGCGGGUGGAAACUAUUACUAUAUCUCCUGUAAAUCUCGGCAAUAAGUGACAGCAUUAUUAGUAAAAGUAAUGUAAUUAGCUUUCUCAAGUACUCAAAAUUGGUUACAUUUUUUAAAAAAUGACUAAAUUAAGUUUCAGUACAUACCACUCCAUUUUUAUUUCCUCUCCUCUAGGAGAUCCAAUUAUUGGUUGCAGCUUUCUGGUCACAACUUUUGCCUAGCAUAUCCCUGUCUAUACAUCUCCCUACUUAUUACAAUAUAUAUCCUAAACUAAAGCAAAUUACAGUCGUACCUUUGUUUACAAACAGCUUAGUUCUUGAACGUUUUGCCUCCUGAACGCUGCAAACCCGGAAGUAACUGUUCUGGUUUGUAAACUAUUUUUGGAAGCUGAACAUCCGGCAGGGCUUCCAUGGCUUCCGAUUGGCUGCAGGAGUUUCCUGCAGCCAAUCAGAAGCCGCACUUUGGUUUCUGAAUGUUUUGGAAGUCGAACAGACUUCUGGAAUGGAUUCUGUUUGACAUCCAAGUUACGACUGCAUAAAUAAGAGCAGGGAACUAUGAGUCUCCAAAUAUUGUUGGACAGCAACUCCCAUUAGCCCCAGCCAGCAUGGCCAAUCAGGGCUGUCUUUAGCAAAUGUGGCGAUGGAGUGCAACUAUCCGCCCAGCGCCCCCAAAUUACCAAAGAUAGUGGGGAGGGGUGAAGCUGUGCACUGCUAGCCAUCAGGGGGGUGCAACUCUCCCCCAUGCUGCUGAAGGAGAGCAAUCCCCACAGAGGCUUGGGAGGGAAGCUGCACCCCGCCAACCAUAUGGCUAGCAGGUACGCAGCUUCCCUCCCAAGCCUCCUUGGGAGGAGAGCGAUCCCCGCAAAGGCUUGGGAGGGAAGCUGCACCUGCCAGCCAUAUGGUUGGUGGGGCGCAGCUGGCGGGAGUGCAGGGAAAGGGGAAGCUGCCAGCAAAGCCGCACAGCUCCCCCACUCGCUGGGGCACCCCUGAGAGGCUGGCGCCCUGGCACGACACACCACUAAGCCCUAUGGGAAAGACGGCUCUGUGGCCAAUAGUAAGAGAUGAUGGAAGAUGGAGUUCAGCAACAUUUAGAACACUACCAAUUCCCCAUCCUGUCUAUAUAUUUAUAUAAUAUCAAAAGCUUUUCCAAAAUGUUAGCACUGUUGCCAUUCUUAAUACUGCAACACAGGGCUGAGAGGAAUGAUGCAGACUCCAAUUCCCAGAUAGUACUAGAUAAACAAGAACUGGCCCUAGAGAUAAGUCUUUGUACCUGCAAGUUUUGCUAAUUAAAGCAAAGACUAGCUUUGAUGGCACAGAACUGGGGAAAGAGUUAAAUCCCAUACUUCACAGGUCUGGUUUAGGUCCCUUGAAGCUGCUUUUUGUAAGGAAAAGGAUGUCAAGAGUUCCAUUCACAGAACUUCCAUGUCACAUCUAAUUUGACUAUAAUGUCUGUUAUGCUACCCAGGAGACAUUAUCAACUGAAAACAAAGAUUUGUCUAACUACAUCUGAACACUAUAAAUCCCAACCCUACCCAACCCCCCCCCCCCCCCACACACACAGGGAGAGAGGAUGAUUUAAGAUAUUAUACUUGUAUUGGCUGAUAUUCUAAAGUAAAAAAUAAUUUUGGCUGCUUUUGUACACUGAACAUAAAAUCAUGGCUCUUUAUUAACUGAGUAUAGAAAGCCCAAGAAGCAGUAGUAAGUAUAAAAUAGGGUUGCCAACUAAACAAAACCAAUAAGUAAAAGCCAGGCCUGUUUUUGAUCCUUUCAUAGCAGCCUGAAGAUUUUCACAGCAUGGAGAUAACAACUUUAGAGAGUGCUCGAAACAUCGAGAACUCUACUCAAAAAGUCGCCAAACAGUGGCUUUAUAGAUCUGUCUCUUAGCUUAGAUCUUUUGAUGUAAAUACAUGAAGUCUUCAAAAAGCAAUUACUGUAUCUGUUUACUAUGCUUUGUCCAAAGCCUGCCUUUCUGUAGAUUAGUCUCCAUGAGGUUACAUCACAUACGGUAAUACUUUUGUUGUUGGUUUAUACUAGCGUUGCAAGGUUAUUCAUACUGCAAAACAUCCAUCUUAUAACAUUAUUCUGAUAUGAUCCCACCUACCUGAAACUAUAUGUGUGCAUAUAAAUUUAGACAAUGUGUCCAUAUGCCGGAGGGAAAAGAAAGAAAGCGACCUCUGCUGACCAAGUAGUGCUGCUGAUUAUAUUUCUUCCUCCUGCUUUCAUUUAAGUAAGCUGUCCAGGAAAAAGAAGCCAAAACUAUCUAGGAAAUGCUAUUGCACACUACUACUGAGUUCAGAACAGGAAAUGGCUGCAUAUUGAUUAGGAGCACCAUAAAGAUAGAACUGCAUGGAUAAUGUAACCCCCCUCCCCUGGGGAGAUAAUCCUGCAUGCCACUGCUAGAAGCAACUGACAAGGUGAGGUAUAUAAAAUUAUGGAGGGGGUGAGAAAUAAUAUCACAUUUUUUAAACAUGGCUGCAAUCCUGAACAUCAAAUAGUGGCAUCUAAGCACAGGGUUGCAUUAAAAAUAUUAUUUCUAUAGUCUAAUUAUUAUUAUGUAUAGAUUAUACAUACAAUGUAAAUUCCUCUUCAACUUUUGUAACAUAAAAAUUCUGUCCAAGUAGGCCUUCCUGCAAAUCUAGUAGAGAUCAUGGCAGUAGAAUCCAAACAUACGCGCUCAGAAUGCACAAUGUUAAACUCUUGCUUCUUCUGAAAAGCACUGCUUUGCUCAUUUAAAAGUAGUUAUGUUCCAGAGAAGCAGAAUACUUCUAAGCUCUUCAGUGUGCUGAAAGUAGUAAAAUGAAAGCAAAACACACUGCUUCUGUUAAUGUAGUUGCUGUUUGAGUCCUAAGUAUUCACCCUGGAAUCUUCUAGUUCAAAUCUCUGUUUAGAUGUCAACUCACCAGCUAGCCUUUGGCACAAGUCAUUGUGUCUUCUUAGCUCAACCUCCAUCUUUGACACAUAAUGCUGCUGGUCUACUUUACAGGAGUGUUGUAAGGACUACUAAAAUACACUGUAUGAAGUAAAAAAAAAAAUACCACAAUAUUCAUCAUGGCUAAAAUAUGUGUUAUAAGUUUUUUUAGGGGAGGGGGGCCAAGGAUCCCCUAAACUCAUGGUUGCUAGAUCCUCCCCAUAAUUCCUGGAUUUAAUAAAAGUUAGAAUUAACCAAUGCUUAGAGCGUUAAACUGAAAGUUAGACUUUAAAGAGCUGGGUUCAGCUUUCCCUGUCCAGGAAACAACCUGGGAGAGGAACCAUCAAGGCGAUCAAAGCUAAUAAUGGCUGAGUCAUCAAGAAAAUCAUUAGGAAGGUGAAGAUUAUGCCAGAGAAAGAGGGGUGGGGGGGUCUUCCUCCAGCUGUGUGUUAGUGGGCAGAAGCAAAAGGGUUUAAAGCAGGGGUCUGCAAGGUUACCUCGCCUGGGCCGGUUCACUCCAGCAGAGUGGGCCAGAUUGCGCACCCAUGACUUCCGGCGUCUGCGUCUGCACAGAUG